CCUACGGGUGGCAGCAGUGGGGGAUAUUGCACAAUGGGGGAAACCCUGAUGCAGCGACGCCGCGUGUGGGAAGACGGUCCUCUGGAUUGUAAACCACUGUCGCCAGGGACGAAGAUGACGGUACCGGGGGAGGAAGCUCCGGCAAACUACGUGCCAGCAGCCGCGGUAAUACGUAGGGAGCGAGCGUUGUCCGGAAUUACUGGGUGUAAAGGGAGCGUAGGCGGGACUGCAAGUUGGGUGUCAAAUCUACGGGCUCAACCGGUAGCCGCACUUGAAACUGCGGUUCUUGAGUGAAGUAGAGGCAGGCGGAAUUCCUGGUGUAGCGGUGAAAUGCGUAGAUAUUAGGAGGAACACCAGUGGCGAAGGCGGCCUGCUGGGCUGUUACUGACGCUGAGGCUCGAAAGUGUGGGGAGCAAACAGGAUUAGAUACCCCAGUAGUC
rnacentral:rRNA from 1 species